AGAGUUUGAUCCUGGCUCAGGAUGAACGCUGGCGGCGUGCCUAAUACAUGCAAGUCGAGCGAACGGACGAGAAGCUUGCUUCUCUGAUGUUAGCGGCGGACGGGUGAGUAACACGUGGAUAACCUACCUAUAAGACUGGGAUAACUUCGGGAAACCGGAGCUAAUACCGGAUAAUAUUUUGAACCGCAUGGUUCAAAAGUGAAAGACGGUCUUGCUGUCACUUAUAGAUGGAUCCGCGCUGCAUUAGCUAGUUGGUAAGGUGACGGCUUACCAAGGCAACGAUGCAUAGCCGACCUGAGAGGGUGAUCGGCCACACUGGAACUGAGACACGGUCCAGACUCCUACGGGAGGCAGCAGUAGGGAAUCUUCCGCAAUGGGCGAAAGCCUGACGGAGCAACGCCGCGUGAGUGAUGAAGGUCUUCGGAUCGUAAAACUCUGUUAUUAGGGAAGAACAUAUGUGUAAGUAACUGUGCACAUCUUGACGGUACCUAAUCAGAAAGCCACGGCUAACUACGUGCCAGCAGCCGCGGUAAUACGUAGGUGGCAAGCGUUAUCCGGAAUUAUUGGGCGUAAAGCGCGCGUAGGCGGUUUUUUAAGUCUGAUGUGAAAGCCCACGGCUCAACCGUGGAGGGUCAUUGGAAACUGGAAAACUUGAGUGCAGAAGAGGAAAGUGGAAUUCCAUGUGUAGCGGUGAAAUGCGCAGAGAUAUGGAGGAACACCAGUGGCGAAGGCGACUUUCUGGUCUGUAACUGACGCUGAUGUGCGAAAGCGUGGGGAUCAAACAGGAUUAGAUACCCUGGUAGUCCACGCCGUAAACGAUGAGUGCUAAGUGUUAGGGGGUUUCCGCCCCUUAGUGCUGCAGCUAACGCAUUAAGCACUCCGCCUGGGGAGUACGACCGCAAGGUUGAAACUCAAAGGAAUUGACGGGGACCCGCACAAGCGGUGGAGCAUGUGGUUUAAUUCGAAGCAACGCGAAGAACCUUACCAAAUCUUGACAUCCUUUGACAACUCUAGAGAUAGAGCCUUCCNCUUCGGGGGACAAAGUGACAGGUGGUGCAUGGUUGUCGUCAGCUCGUGUCGUGAGAUGUUGGGUUAAGUCCCGCAACGAGCGCAACCCUUAAGCUUAGUUGCCAUCAUUAAGUUGGGCACUCUAAGUUGACUGCCGGUGACAAACCGGAGGAAGGUGGGGAUGACGUCAAAUCAUCAUGCCCCUUAUGAUUUGGGCUACACACGUGCUACAAUGGACAAUACAAAGGGCAGCGAAACCGCGAGGUCAAGCAAAUCCCAUAAAGUUGUUCUCAGUUCGGAUUGUAGUCUGCAACUCGACUACAUGAAGCUGGAAUCGCUAGUAAUCGUAGAUCAGCAUGCUACGGUGAAUACGUUCCCGGGUCUUGUACACACCGCCCGUCACACCACGAGAGUUUGUAACACCCGAAGCCGGUGGAGUAACCUUUUAGGAGCUAGCCGUCGAAGGUGGGACAAAUGAUUGGGGUGAAGUCGUAACAAGGUAGCCGUAUCGGAAGGUGCGGCUGGAUCACCU
rnacentral:rRNA from 1 species